GCACAGCUACAAAAUGUAUGCACAAUGUAAAUGGCCCCUCUGUAGGUUGAGUGCAGCACUGUUACAUGAGAUUGUAAUUAGAACUGCUUUCCUAAGGCAUUGCCAAUUUGGAAGUAAACAUCAGGCUGCUCUCUGCAAUCUGACAUUCCCAAGUAACGAACGACUGAACCAGAAGCCUUUGCUGCAUGAUUUAGUGCUAUGAUCCAGCAAUGCAAGCAGUAUGCCUCCAGCUACAUUUUACUGCUGUCUAAAGAGAGCCCUCAGGGAAAAUGUUUCCAGAUUCUAGUUAAAUAGCUCUACUGCGAACUAGCAAAUGCAAUACCAAGGAUACUUUCAAGCUUUACAGAGAGAUGACGGCACACAGCCUGCAGAGAGGCUUCCUAGUCCACCAACCCAGCUGCCAGACAACCUGGGCAAGGUCAACGCUAAACCCAGGAGCAAGGACCACCUAUAUAUUGCUGAUUACAAGCUAAGAUAGUGGAGGAUAAGGAAGGAAAAAAAGAAGGAACGAAGA